rnacentral:rRNA from 1 species
AUUGGACGCUGGUGGCAUGCUUUACACAUGCAAGUCGAACGGUAACAUAAGAAAGCUUGCUUUCUUGAUGACGAGUGGCGAACGGGUGAGUAAUACAUCGGAACGUACCCUGUAGUGGGGGAUAACUACUCGAAAGAGUGGCUAAUACCGCAUACAACCUGAGGGUAAAAGUGGGGGACCGCAAGGCCUCACGCUAUAGGAGCGGCCGAUGGAAGAUUAGGUAGUUGGUGGGGUAAAGGCCUACCAAGCCGACGAUCUUUAGCGGGUCUGAGGGGACGAUCCGCCACACUGGGACUGAGACACGGCCCAGACUCCUACGGGAGGCAGCAGUGGGGAAUUUCGGACAAUGGGCGAAAGCCUGAUCCAGCAAUGCCGCGUGAGUGAAGAAGGCCUUCGGGUUGUAAAGCUCUUUUGUUUGGGAAGAAAUCCUUAAGGCUAAUAUCCUUGGGGGAUGACGGUACCAAAAGAAUAAGCACCGGCUAACUACGUGCCAGCCGCCGCCGUAACAC